GUGUCAGCAGCCGCGGUAAUACGUAGGGGGCAAGCGUUGUCCGGAUUUAUUGGGCGUAAAGAGCGUGUAGGCGGCCAGGUAGGUCCGUUGUGAAAACUCGAGGCUCAACCUCGAGACGUCGGCGGAAACCCUCUGGCUAGAGUCCGGAAGAGGAGAGUGGAAUUCCUGGUGUAGCGGUGAAAUGCGCAGAUAUCAGGAAGAACACCCGUGGCGAAGGCGGCUCUCUGGGACGGUACUGACGCUGAGACGCGAAAGCGUGGGGAGCAAACAGGAUUAGAUACCCUGGUAGUCC
rnacentral:rRNA from 1 species